UGUCACAAAACCAGUGGAAAAAGGAGGAAGAGCACCAUUCUCCAGAGUCUACAUGUGGUUUGUGGCCUCAGCCUGCAAAGUUUAUGAAGCACAAUCCUGGCUGGGGGUCUCAUACAAACCAAUUUCCUCCUCCUCCUGAAAGGCUGGUUUGCUCACACCACAGACAAGGAUCCAGCUGAACUCUUCUCUUUUCCCCAGGCAUUCCUACAUGGUCAGUGCAACAAUUCCAUAUUUUCAGCUCUCCAGAUUGCAGUGAACGACAAACAAAACCAGAUGACCCAUGAAUGAAAAAUAAGGUGGUGACAUGCUCUGAGCAACACUGUUCGAUGAUAAAGAGACACUGUCAUGGCAGGAUAGAUUGUCCUACUAGUCCCAGGAGUGACGGACUUGGCUUGCAGACUCAGCUCUUGAGCAACCCUGAUAUGGGCUUAAAUAA